rnacentral:rRNA from 1 species
AUUGAACGCUGGCGGCAGGCUUAACACAUGCAAGUCGAGCGGAGAGAGGUAGCUUGCUACUGAUCUUAGCGGCGGACGGGUGAGUAAUGCUUAGGAAUCUGCCUAUUAGUGGGGGACAACAUUUCGAAAGGAAUGCUAAUACCGCAUACGUCCUACGGGAGAAAGCAGGGGAUCUUCGGACCUUGCGCUAAUAGAUGAGCCUAAGUCGGAUUAGCUAGUUGGUGGGGUAAAGGCCUACCAAGGCGACGAUCUGUAGCGGGGCUGAGAGGAUGAUCCGCCACACGGGGACUGAGACACGGCCCAGACUCCUACGGGAGGCAGCAGGGGGGAAUAUUGGACAAUGGGCGCAAGCCUGAUCCAGCCAUGCCGCGUGUGUGAAGAAGGCCUUAUGGUUGUAAAGCACUUUAAGCGAGGAGGAGGCUACUUUAGAUAAUACCUAGAGAUAGUGGACGUUACUCGCAGAAUAAGCACCGGCUAACUCUGUGCCAGCAGCCGCCGUAACAC